ensembl:lncRNA LOC108349392 uncharacterized LOC108349392
CCCCCACCCCACCCCAUACUCUGUCUCUACUACCCUCUCAAUUCCCCUCCCCAUGUCCUGAGUAAACUAUUUUAUACUGUGCUAUGUUCCUGGAAAGUGACCUGAGUAGAAGAGAGAGCCCAUAUGGGGGAAGGAAAAAGAAACAGAGAAGAGCUCCUCCGAGGACCACACCUCAGGGGCUGAACUUCCUCAGAGUCUUGCUGCUGCUAAGAUCCAGGGAAUAUCUUGCCUUCCAGCCCUCCAGCCCAUGGAGGAAGGCCCUGCAAUGACAGAGCCCCUGGGGAAAGAAUGCCAGGUGCAUCCAGGAACUGGCAGACACAGAGCUCCUGAUGGUCCCAGGGCUUCACUUAGCAUGGUUCCUGUUGCUAAGCAAUGGAAGUGCUGGACCUGUCAUCUAUCAUCUGCUGUCCAGCACUCCAGGGAUGCCCUGUGAAGUUCAAAUCUUCCAUGAACCAUCUCUCUCCCAAAGGCGUCUGGUCCACAGAAGGAAGCCAGGUCUCCCGGAUGACUGCAUCGUUGUUCCAUGGAGCUUUUAAAAUGCAAGUGUCCUGAAUGGCAGUGGUGCCAGGUGACAGCUGUGGGCACACCUCAUCCUGAAGCGCUGUAGGAACUGACACCAGUGAAUGCCAGAUAUGGGGAAAGGUGUCUGCCCAGUUAUCUCCUAGCUAGUUGAGCCUUCUAUAAAGAAUGUUAUUAAAAAGUCUGCAAGAGGCUGCACGGUGGGUUUCUUCCCUCUUUCCAGAGGAGAGGGUGGUUGAGGAGGAAACAUGCUUUGUCCACAUUCCUUUGUGUAUGGUGGGACUAUCACCGGUGAUGGAGGACCUGUGAGUACUUGGAACCUUAUCGGCCCUCAAACUUCAAUUGGCCCUUGCAUGUCAAUAGCAAGAAUGGUUAUUUCCUG